CCGGACACAAAGGGUACGCACACGAAGAGACAUCGACGAAGACACCAUUCAGGAAAUGUUCGAAAUCGUAGCCCAGGUUGACGUCAACGCCUGCGGUCUGAAACUUGUGUGCGACCUGUACCAGAAGCCGAAGUCUGAUCUCUCAGUGAAGGAAUCAGCCAUUAUGCAACUUAUCGGAGAAAACCCCAAGCCAGUAGCCCCUGAGAAGGUGAAGGACGCACGCGCCCGCUACCAGUCAGCCGCCAUCUGGGUCUGCGAGGAGAGAAGUGCUCCGUCCUGUACGCGUCUUGUUCUCUGACCGAGGACAAGGUUCACACUUACCUCGACUCCCUCGAGGUCCAGGGAGACAAGAACUUCAAGGAAAUACUCGAAAAUCAUAAGAUAAGCGCAUAAGUGUCCUACGAGAGAGACAGAUGGGGGCUAGAUGGCUAUAAAACUCAUGGCCUAUCCUACGGGCUGCUCUAGGAGCAAGAGCCCGUGCCAGCACAAGGCUGGCGUAAUCUUCAACAACAACAACAACUCCGUCUGAUGCUGUAGGGAGACUCAUUCACAGAAUAUCUAUUUUUUCUGGAUUUUCCUUUCACAUUUUAACAAGACUUAGCUGUCAGUUUCUUUUUACGCUCUGGAGGAACGGCACCGCUGUGAAUCGACUACAUCUCGUUACGAUUCUAAUAAACUGUUACUUUCUUUA